AUGCAUAGGGCCUCCAAAGCACCCUGGAGUUGGGGGAAGUGCUGCAGAAUGGGAGCAGCCUGUGGUUCAAAGUCAAAAGCCCCUCCUGUUCCUCCCACCGGGACAGGGACCAGCACCUUUGCCUCUCACCAGAAGCCUCCCAAGGACCCACGGGGGCAGAGGUCAGGAGGCCUGCUGACCUUGGACACCAGGCUGAGAGGGUGGCAGCGAGCCACCACCAAGCACAUCGCGAGAGCUGCAGCAAACACUCAGGGCGCUCCUGCAGUUCUAACAGGUACCUCCUCUCCCAAGCCUCUGUUGUUUACCUGUAAAAUGGGGACAUCAUAACUGACCUGCCCACCGCACAGGGGUUGUGUCCUCUGGCCCCUGUGUGUCUGUUCACCCGCCCUGCACUGAGCAGCCUGAGGACAGGCACCUGACCCUCUCUUGAUCCCCACACUUGUCCCAAACAGGGCCUACCUUGGGUGUGUGAACCCAGAGGGGCUGCAGCCCAGUUGGACAUCCCCAGGGGCGUAGGGAUGCAGAAGGCAAGGUUCUGGGCAGCUCCUGCUGGGUCCACCCCAAAUCCUGCUGCACCCUCCUCCUCACAGUUUUCAGUUCUGGGUCUCCUUUCUAAUUUAAUGGUGCAAAAAAAAAAAAAAAAGCAGAAGAAAGGGAAAGAAGAGAGGGAAGAGGGGGGUGGGGAGGGAGUGAGGAAGGACUACAACCAGCUGAAGCGUCCCUCCUGCUGGCCACCCUUUGAUAUUUGAGGGCGGGACAAUGAGACUGAUUGGUAGGAAAUUUGAAGCCCUCAUAAUUAGAAGGAAAGAAUGUCCUUGUGGUUGGCUCCUCUAAAAAUACAGCUGUGCCCACAUCUGGAGGAGAUGGGUGGGAGGUGGGGGGGUAUGUGGGGGGGGUGGGGGGAUUGAGGGGGGUUGGUCAGGCCAGAGUCUGAAGCACUGAAUCCUGGGUUCCUUGGGGAGGAGAGGACCCCUCCCAGCAGAGCCCAGGGCAGAAGGAGACGGGAGGGCACCAAAGGGGCCAGUCCCCUGUGGCUGGGCCACCUGCCACAGGGUGGGGACGUGGGAGCUGAAUAGGCAGUCCACCCCUUCCUGGGUCCACACUCACCCCUUCAUGGAGCCCUCCCACCUCCGCUGCCCAGAGGGGACAAGCAGGGGCCUGGCUGGCGGGUGCGCUGCCUUAUCAGCCCCUACCUGACCUGGCCACACCAGGCCCCCUGGCCACAGGCUUCUGAAGACAGAGGGAUUUCCUUCUGGAUUUUAUGAUGUUGGGUGGUAUUUGUCAGCUUUUAUGAAUGUAGUGUUUGUUUUGAGUUCUCUAAGUAAAU
rnacentral:lncRNA from 1 species